GACGAACGCUGGCGGCGCGCCUAACACAUGCAAGUCGAGCGAUGAAAUUUUAACCGAUCUCUUCGGAGAGAAGAUAAAAUGGAUUAGCGGCGGACGGGUGAGUAACACGUGAGAAACCUGCCUUUCACAAGGGGAUAGCCUCGGGAAACCGGGAUUAAUACCCUAUGACACAUUUCCUUCGCAUGGAAGAAAUGUUAAAACUCCGGUGGUGAAAGAUGGUCUCACGCCUGAUUAGCUAGUUGGUGGGGUAACGGCCCACCAAGGCCAUGAUCAGUAACCGGCCUGAGAGGGUGAACGGUCACAUUGGAACUGAGACACGGUCCAAACUCCUACGGGAGGCAGCAGUGGGGAAUAUUGCACAAUGGAGGAAACUCUGAUGCAGCGACGCCGCGUGAGCGAUGAAGGCUUUCGAGUCGUAAAGCUCUGUCCUAUGGGAAGAUAAUGACGGUACCAUAGGAGGAAGCCCCGGCUAACUACGUG
rnacentral:rRNA from 1 species